rnacentral:lncRNA from 1 species
AUGGGAGAAACAACUUUUUCGCACUUAACAGUUGACAUUUUUGGCAGGUGCCACAUUUCCAGAUCUACUGACCUGAAACUUCUCAGUAUGGUAGGAAGGUGGCUGAUGUGUUUGACUGUGCUAAUCCUCCUUACACAUCCCAGCAGUGGUGGGGCAGACCCCCUCAGCAGAGAGACCUACCACUCUUGGACAGAAAUAAACAUCAAAAAUGAUACUCCAUGGUGAAAAAAGCUUCUGAAUCCACAACAUGCCACUGAGGUAUCCAGUGAGCUACAUCAGUCCUGGGUGACUCACGAUAUCUCCAGAUGCACCCCAGACAUUUCAAAGACAGAAUGUGUACGACAGUGAAAUAGGGUAAGCAAAAAAGCAUAAUUAAAUUUUUCUUAUUAAACUGAUACAUUUAUCCACUUAAGGUUGCUAUAGAUACGCUUAUGACCUUAUGACUAUGACACACCAAAUUGUACUAUGUAUACUGAUUUUUAUACAUUUUCCUGUAAGCAAUUAUAUUUUUUCAUAAACAUAACUUUUAGUGGAGUCAAAUUAUAUCUUAUUCUUGUAUGUUUACACAUUCUUUGGAGACAAUGAAAAUUUCAUUUUCACAGCAUUUUUUCCUACGACUAAUCCUUGUGCAUUUGAUCAGCGAACACACACACUGUUUUCAGCCUGUACUUGUCUGCACCUUACAAUGAUGACAGCUACAUUUCCAGCACCCAGGAAGGCUUUGUAAGUCUUCACUUUUACUCAGCAGUACACAUCUGUGUUGCGGUGGAGAAAAAUUCCUUUUCACUUUGUACACAGCCACCCUGUCCCUACCAUUGUCAUUCAGAAAAAGGAGUGAAUAUUAAAACCAAUACAUGGUCUUCAGAUCACAAAUUAGCACAAUUUGACAGAACAGUCAGCUUUUAAUCAGGUAUUUUCCAGUGUCAAUAGCCAACCAGGCACGACAUCCUGUGUCAGUGGAGGUAAUCAGGACUUCUUGUGUUGUGUACUCUCUUUGUUAGGGAUGCAGUUGAAACAGGUGCACGGCAGACAGACAUGAGGCAUGAUGGGACAGAUACAUCACAAAUGGUGCUCCAAUGCAGUUCAGCAGAACACCAUUUACUCUGGAAGAGGAAACCAGACAUGGCCACCACCCUCCUUUUGUUCAUCAGGAAACAGCGUCUUCCUAUGCGCACAUGUAAGCCAGUCGCUGUCAGUAAGCGGAACGCCAUGUGAUGUACAAAAC